rnacentral:rRNA from 1 species
AUGGACCAAUCCAUCCCUUUUUCCCGUGCAUAUGCAUCAGACUCGGAUGACGAUGGUCCUGGUGAAGAAGUUGAUGAGGAGGGGUUCACAUCGAAGGAGGCCGAAGCAUUCAAGAAGGUAUUCGGGCGGGAUCACAAGACACCAUUGUUCAAGGAUCUUAGUCUCGCGGAUGAAGCCGUUGUGGAUGAUGGAAAAUGCAUAUCUCUUGGAGCUAGGCCAAGUUCUCAC